AUUGAACGCUGUCGGCAGGCCUAACACAUGCAAGUCGAACGAGUGGCGGACGGGUGAGUAAUGUCUGGGAAACUGCCUGAUGGAGGGGGAUAACUACUGGAAACGGUAGCUAAUACCGCAUACCAUCGGAUGUGCCCAGAUGGGAUUAGCUAGUAGGUGGGGUAAAGGCUCAACUAGGCGACGAGCCCUAGCUGGUCUGAGAGGAUGAACAGCCACACUGGAACGGAGACACGGUCCAGACUCCUACGGGAUGAAGCAGGGGGGAAUAGUGCACAAUGGGCGCAAGCCGGAUGCAGCCAUGCAGCGUGUAUGAAGAAGUCCUUCGGGUUGUAAAUUACUUUCAGCGGGGAGGCGUUACCCGCAGAAGAAGCACCGGCGAACUCCGUGCCAGCAGCCGCGGUAAUUC
rnacentral:rRNA from 1 species